rnacentral:rRNA from 1 species
AAUUCGCCCUUGAGCACGUAGGUGGGUUUGUAAGUCAGGUGUGAAAGCCUUCUGUUCAACGGGAGAAUUGCAUCUGAAACUACGAAUCUUGAGUGUAGGAGGGGAGAAUGGAACUUCUGGUGGAGCGGUGAAAUGCGUAGAUAUCAGAAGGAACGCCGGCGGCGAAAGCGAUUCUCUGGCCUAUUACUGACACUCAGUGUGCGAAAGCUAGGGGAGCAAACGGGAUUAGAUACCCCGGUAGUCCUAGCCGUAAACGAUGGGCACUAAGUAGUGGGAAUUACCGAUGUUCUCUCUGCCGUAGCUAACGCAUUAAGUGCCCCGCCUGGAGAGUACGGCCGCAAGGCUAAAACCCAAAAGAAUUGACGGGGGCUCGCACAAGCGGUGGAGCAUGUGGCUUAAUUCGAUGCAACGCGAAAAACCUUACCGGGGCUUGACAUGUUAGAAGUAGGAACCUGAAAGGGUAACGAACGGUAUCCAGUCCGUAGCUAUCACAGGUGUUGCAUGGCUGUCGUCAGCUCGUGUCGUGAGACGUUGGGUUAAGUCCCCUAACGAGCGAAACCCUUGUUUUUAGUUACCAGCGGGUUAUGCCGGGUACUCUAGAAAGACUGCCGUCGUCAAGACGGAGGAAGGUGGGGAUGACGUCAAGUCAUCAUGGCCCUUAUGCCCCGGGCUGCACACGUGCUACAAUGGUCGGUACAAACGGAAGCGAAGCCGAGAGGUGAAGCGAAUCCAAGGGCGAAUU